UUGAAGGUUGUCUGCAGAAUCCAUGGC
rnacentral:piRNA from 1 species